rnacentral:rRNA from 1 species
UGGGGAAUAUUGGACAAUGGGCGAAAGCCUGAUCCAGCCAUGCCGCGUGUGUGAAGAAGGUCUUCGGAUUGUAAAGCACUUUAAGUUGGGAGGAAGGGCAUUAACCUAAUACGUUAGUGUUUUGACGUUACCGACAGAAUAAGCACCGGCUAACUCUGUGCCAGCAGCCGCGGUAAUACAGAGGGUGCAAGCGUUAAUCGGAAUUACUGGGCGUAAAGCGCGCGUAGGUGGUUUGUUAAGUUGGAUGUGAAAGCCCCGGGCGCAACCUGGGAACUGCAUCCAAAACUGGCAAGCUAGAGUACGGUAGAGGGUGGUGGAAUUUCCUGUGUAGCGGUGAAAUGCGUAGAUAUAGGAAGGAACACCAGUGGCGAAGGCGACCACCUGGACUGAUACUGACACUGAGGUGCGAAAGCGUGGGGAGCAAACA